rnacentral:rRNA from 1 species
GGGCCAGACUCCUACGGGAGGCAGCAGUGGGGAAUAUUGGACAAUGGGGGGAACCCUGAUCCAGCGACGCCGCGUGAGUGAAGAAGUCUUUCGGUAUGUAAAGCUCUAUCAGCAGGGAAGAAAAUGACGGUACCUGAGUAAGAAGCCCCGGCUAACUACGUGCCAGCAGCCGCGGUAAUACGUAGGGGGCAAGCGUUAUCCGGAUUUACUGGGUGUAAAGGGAGCGUAGACGGCAGUGCAAGUCUGGAGUGAAAGGCGGGGGCUCAACCCCCGGACUGCUCUGGAAACUGUACGGCUGGAGUGCAGGAGAGGUAAGUGGAAUUCCUAGUGUAGCGGUGAAAUGCGUAGAUAUUAGGAGGAACACCAGUGGCGAAGGCGGCCUGCUGGGCUUUUACUGACGCUGAGGCUCGAAAGUGUGGGGAGCAAACAGGAUUAGAUACCCCAGUACG